AGACUUAAAUAUCCAUCAAAAUAUCUCGCCUGGUUUUCUUUUGAGCCUAAUUACAUUAAGAAGACCUUGUAUAAAUACUAAUAAUCAUCGAACACAAUCAAGUCAUGGAGAUAACUUAGAGUCUCUAUCAUAGAUGCCUAAACUAUAUUUUCAGUAUGCUUAGCUACAUAAGAUGCCACUCAAUAGCAGCAUUAUUCUCCUCUCUAUAGAUGUGUUUGAUCAGUUAGAAGGAACAUCAUGCGAUAAGUCUUCAAGCAUUAGCUAGCAAAGGAAGAUGGCCCCCAA
rnacentral:lncRNA from 1 species